CCCUGAUGGAGGGGAACCCCGGGAACUGGGGAUAAUACCCCAUAGACUAUGGAUGCUGGAAUGCUCUGUAGCCGAAAGGUCCGCCGCCACAGGAUGGGUCUGCGGCCGAUUAGGUUGUUGUUGGGGUAACGGCCCAACAAGCCUGUAAUCGGUACGGGUUGUGGGAGCAAGAGCCCGGAGAUGGAUUCUGAGACACGAAUCCAGGCCCUACGGGGCGCAGCAGGCGCGAAAACUUUGCAAUGCGGGAAACCGUGACAAGGGAACUCUGAGUGCCCGUAAAAUCGGGCUGUCCAUCGGUUUAAAUAACCGGUGAAGAAAGGGCCGGGCAAGACCGGUGCCAGCCGCCGCGGUAAUACCGGCGGCUCGAGUGGUGGCCACUAUUACUGGGCUUAAAGCGUUCGUAGCUGGUCUGUUAAGUCUCUGGGGAAAUCUUCCGGCUUAACCGGAAGGCGUCUCAGGGAUACUGGCAGACUAGGGACCGGGAGAGGUGAGAGGUACUCCAGGGGUAGGAGUGAAAUCCUGUAAUCCUUGGGGGACCACCUGUGGCGAAGGCGUCUCACCAGAACGGCUCCGACAGUGAGGGACGAAAGCUGGGGGAGCAAACCGGAUUAGAUACCCGGGUAGUCCCAGCUGUAAACGAUGCGCGUUAGGUGUAUCGGUGACCACGAGUCACCGAGGUGCCGAAGAGAAAUCGUGAAACGUGCCGCCUGGGAAGUACGGUCGCAAGGCUGAAACUUAAAGGAAUUGGCGGGGGAGCAC
rnacentral:rRNA from 1 species